AGCUUCAGAUGUCAGUCAACAAGACGUUUAAGAAACUGCUGAAGGAUCUGGGACGGUUGAAUUUACCCAAGAUGAACUUGACAAAGGAGACACUGGAAAAGCUUCAGAUGUCCAUCCACGCCAUGUUCAAGAAACUGACAAACUCUAUAGGAAGCAUGGAGAAACUCAAAGAAGCAGCAGAAAAUUAAUGUCCAGGAUUUCGAAUCACGUGUUCAAUCAUCACACAUGGACCAAUCAAUCAAG